GACCAAGGAGUCUAGACUGUGCGCGAGUCAAAGGGCUGGCUAAACCCAAAGGCGAAACGAAAGUGAAUUUCAUAGGGCCGAUCCGGUUCGGGGUGUCCGCCGGGCGGCGUUUGUCGCUUCUUCGGCCCCCGAUUUGUCUCUUUGAACGAGGACGGCGCAGGCCCGGGGCUCGCACGCAACCUCCCCGCCGCUAAUGGUAACAUGCUAGUCCUCAGCCGACCGGCGAGUUCGGAGUUUUCCUUGUCUCGAAUCACGUAACAAACUCUUUUUUAUGGGACCGUGUGUUUGGGAGGCUACUCCCCGAGAUGCCGUCGAGAGAAGGGUGGCGGGCCCCAAAUGUGCGAACCAUCCCCCGCUCCUGCUUUGGUCGGAUGGCUUUUUCUCUGAGCGCACAUUCUAGUACCCGAAAGAUGGUGAUCUAUGCCUGGCCAGGAUGAAGCCAGAGGAAACUCUGGUGGAGGUCCGUAGCGGAUUCUGACGUGCA
rnacentral:rRNA from 1 species